GAUGAACGCUAGCGGGAGGCUUAACACAUGCAAGUCGAGGGGCAGCAUAGGGUAGCAAUACUCUGAUGGCGACCGGCAAACGGGUGAGUAACGCGUAUGCAACCUACCCUGUACAGGGGGAUAACCCGGAGAAAUUCGGACUAAUAUCCCGUAAUAAUAUCCGGAGGCAUCUUUGGAUAUUUAAAGUUUCGACGGUACGGGAUGGGCAUGCGUAACAUUAGCUGGUUGGUAAGGUAACGGCUUACCAAGGCUAUGAUGUUUAGGGGUCCUGAGAGGGUGGUCCCCCACACUGGUACUGAGACACGGACCAGACUCCUACGGGAGGCAGCAGUGAGGAAUAUUGGUCAAUGGGCGCAAGCCUGAACCAGCCAUCCCGCGUGCAGGAAGACGGCGCUAUGCGUUGUAAACUGCUUUUCCAGGGAGAGAAACUUGCGCACGUGUUGCGCAAUUGACGGUACCCUGGGAAUAAGCAUCGGCUAACUCCGUGCCAGCAGCCGCGGUAAUCU
rnacentral:rRNA from 1 species